rnacentral:misc_RNA from 1 species
AAGUCGUAACAAGGUUUCCGUAGGUGAACCUGCGGAAGGAUCAUUAUCAAUGAAUCACUUCAUUACACCGUGCACUGGACUUAUGGCAGAAAUGCCUAAGUAACACACAACCCUAUACAUUAUAGCAGAGUCAAUUAGGAAACUAAUAAUGACAACUUUUAGCAACGGAUCUCUAGGUUCUC